GACGAACGCUGGCGGCGUGCUUAACACAUGCAAGUCGAACGGAAAGGCCCUGCUUUUGUGGGGUGCUCGAGUGGCGAACGGGUGAGUAACACGUGAGUGACCUGCCCUUGACUUUGGGAUAACUUCAGGAAACUGGGGCUAAUACCGGAUAGGAGCUCCUGCUGCAUGGUGGGGGUUGGAAAGUUUCGGCGGUUGGGGAUGGACUCGCGGCUUAGCAGCUUGUUGGUGGGGUAGUGGCUUACCAAGGCUUUGACGGGUAGCCGGCCUGGGAGGGUGACCGGCCACAUUGGGACUGAGGUACGGACCAGAGUCCUACGUGAGGCAGCAGUGGGGAAUAUUGCACAAUGGGCGGAAGCCUGAUGCAGCAACGCCGCGUGCGGGAUGACGGCCUUCGGGUUGUAAACCGCUUUCGCCUGUGACGAAGCGUGAGUGACGGUAAUGGGUAAAUAAGCACCGGCUAACUACGUG
rnacentral:rRNA from 1 species